GUGAUCUGCCCUGCACUUUGGGAUAAGCCUGGGAAACUGGGUCUAAUACCGAAUAUGACUACGCACUUCCUGGUGUGUGGUGGAAAGCUUUUGCGGUGUGGGAUGGGCCCGCGGCCUAUCAGCUUGUUGGUGGGGUAAUGGCCUACCAAGGCGACGACGGGUAGCCGGCCUGAGAGGGUGACCGGCCACACUGGGACUGAGAUACGGCCCAGACUCUACGGGAGGCAGCAGUGGGGAAUAUUGCACAAUGGGCGCAAGCCUGAUGCAGCGACGCCGCGUGAGGGAUGACGGCCUUCGGGUUGUAAACCUCUUUCAGCAGGGACGAAGCGCAAGUGACGGUACCUGUAGAAGAAGGACCGGCCAACUACGUGCCAGCAGCCGCGGUAAUACGUAGGGUCCGAGNNBUGUCCGGAAUUACUGGGCGUAAAGAGCUCGUAGGUGGUUUGUCGCGUUGUUCGUGAAAACUCACA
rnacentral:rRNA from 1 species